GGCUGUGUUUAAAGACACGCUGUGAUUGGUCGGUGAGCUGCAUAAAGACAUCAUGGCGGGGGCUCGGCGGACCUGGGUCAUAGCGGAGAGCAACAUGGAGCUGUCCCGAGGAGAACACGUCGAUAAACCGAGGACAGUGAGGUGUUUCGGGAAGCAGACCUGAUGUGGACUGACCAAGACAGGAUCUGUGUGAUCUGACUCUGCCCCACCCCCCCACACACAACCACACAGACUGGGAUUGAUGGAUCGACUUCAGUGACCUGCAGGAGAUGAGGCUGUGAUGUCAGAACUGCAAGAUGAUGGUGAGUGACUGAAGGAUGUCUCCUGGCUGCAGUCUGAGGACAGCUGGUGAGUGUCUGAGCUGCGUCCCAGUUCACUGCACUCGUUUCCAGUAUGUGGUCUGCUCAUACUGGGACAAGGACUGAAGCAACUUCAGAGACCAGGAAGCAGACUUGUCUCAAUCAACAUAGUCUUAAUGAUUUCACUGUUUAACUCUGACCCCACAGGUCUGCUCAUGUAAACUUUCUUGUGUUUUAAUAAAGGUUGAUGUUAUUAACUGUU